GGACAAGUUCUAAGCAGACGCCCUUGGAGGGGGCCCCCCCACCCCCACAGGCCGACUGUGGGUGCCCCCCCCGGGGGGGUAGUGGAAGAGGAACCACACCUGCGUACCUUCUUAAACUGGACAGUGGGUGUCGAGCAAGUAUUGACCCGGGGAUUUGAUUCUGGGCUUCCCAGGCAAUGUUCAGAUUCAGGUUCUCGCUGGGAAAAGAAAAAAAGAACUUGGCAACCGAGAUGCAAACAAAUCCGUCUGAUUCAGGAGUGCCAGCGACAGCCAGUGCUUAUAAAUAACGGUGCUGUGCUGGCCCCAGCCCCAGAGGAGCCAGUGCGGACAGCCCGUCCCACCUGGGCCUCUGUUGUCACCCGGCAGAGGAGGAGGGAGCGAUGGGAGGUGGCUCGGGGGACUUUCAUGGGUGCACGUGCUCUGGCCGGACAGGUGGACGGGCUCCCAGGAGGCCAGCGUGGGAAAGGCCCUACCCGUGCCCUGCCAAGCUGUCCACAUCCUGCCAUCACUCCUGCUUCCAGGCAUCAACAUGAAGCCACUGGCCGAACUGCAUGUCACCAUCCAGGUGAGACUCAGCAUCUCCCUGUUCCAGAAGAAGAGGCUCUCAGGGACCCCUGACAUCCCGUGCCCAGCCUGCCUAAGCAUCCUUCUCCUGACUAGAGUCCUUAGGGAUCCUUAGGGAUUGGCAAGGGCAGGAAGAGUUGCCAAGAGAGAGAACCUUCUGGGCGGGGCAGUAGGAGACCCCCGGGACCACUUCCAGACCUGGCCACUGAGGUUUGGGUUUAACCCUUUGAGGCCCCCUCCCCCCAACCCCUCCCUCUAGGCCCUCAGGUCCCUGCCAUGCUGGCUGGGGCACUGAAUGGAAGCUCUCAGGGACAGGCCAGAUCAGGCCAGAGGCAAUAGGAGUUAGGGCCCCAGUGCUUGAGUAUUAGGUGGCCAAGGGCAGGAGCUGGGGGCGCUGACCUCACGCCAGGUCCCUGCUGGCCACGACCGGCAUAGCCUCCCACUGCAUCUCCCUCCCACGUGGGUGAAAUGGGGAAACCAUGUCCACUGCGCAGGUUAUUCCAAGGAUUGGACGGGGUAACUAUUAAUGCUUAGCUUGCAUAGCCUCUGCCACAUGGUAAACGCUGCUUUUCUUUGUUUGACCACGCCCAUGGCAAGCAGAAGUUCCUGGGCCAGAGAUUGAACCCUUAUCACAGCAGUGACAAUACCAGAUCCUUAACCUGCUAGGCCAUCAGGGAAUUCUGCCCCCCCCCCGGCCCCCGCGCCUUUAUUGGGCUGCAGCGAGCAACAGCUUGAUGUGGAAUCUCAUUUCUCAGACCCAGGACUGAACUUGGGCCGCAGCGGCAAAAGCACCAAACCCUAACCACUAGACCACCAGGGAACUCCCCAUGUUGUUGCUUUAUUUAUUGAUUUAUAUAUUUAUUUAUUUAUUUAUUUGCCUUUUUAGGGCCAUAGACAAGGCAUAUGGAGGUUCCCAGGCUAGGGGUUGAAUCGGAGCUACAGCUGCUGGCCUACACCACAGCCACGCCAGUUCCCAGCCAACUCUACAACAUACACCACUGCUCACAGCAAUGCCGGACCCUUAACCCACUGAGCGAGGCCAGGGAUUGAACCCAUGUCCUCUAGUCAGUUUCAUUAUUGCCGAGCCAUGAUGGGAACUCCUGGAUUUAUUUUAAAAUAUUUUACAGGAGUUCUCUGGGGGCACAGCAGGUUAAAAGUCCAGCACUGUCACUGAAGCAUCUUGGGUUGUUGCUCUGGGGCGGGUUUGAUCCUUGGCUUGGGAACUUCCACAUGCCGCUGAGCAAAAAAAAUAAAAUAAAAUAAAAUAUAAAACA
rnacentral:lncRNA from 1 species